rnacentral:rRNA from 1 species
UACGUAGGGGGCUAGCGUUGUUCGGAAUUACUGGGCGUAAAGCGCACGUAGGCGGAUUUGUAAGUCAGGGGUGAAAUCCCGGGGCUCAACCUCGGAACUGCCUUUGAUACUGCAAAUCUCGAGUCCGGAAGAGGUGAGUGGAAUUCCUAGUGUAGAGGUGAAAUUCGUAGAUAUUAGGAAGAACACCAGUGGCGAAGGCGGCUCACUGGUCCGGUACUGACGCUGAGGUGCGAAAGCGUGGGGAGCAAACAGG